AGGUUCCGUCGCUUUCUGUGUUGUAUUCGGUUUGACUUGACGCUAGAAGAAAUGUCCGCCGUUCACUUGUUCACCAGAUCAGACGUUCACCCUUGAUUUCCAACAUUACUUUAACUCCUGAAAGCUGUCGUGGGCUUCCUUCCUAGGCAGCGUAUGUCACUGACACCUGGUUAGAACUGGCUUUCCUUAUGGUGUCUCCCACCAUGAAAGGGGUGGUGGAUGCCAUAUGGGCAGUGUGGAGCAUCGGGGUUUCCAUCUAUGACUACAUCCACACAGAUGCCAUGGAGAAGCGCAUCCAUGCCCUGGAGUACGCUAUCACCAUCCACCAGUGUGUGAUCGGGCUGCUUUCCGCAGGCAUGCUGGUGCUCUUUACCUACAUCAUCUUCAAGAAGCUUUGAAGAUGUGAUGGAGCUAGCUGGCACUAUGGAUUGAUUAGAACCAAGCACACAUCCUGUGUGGUAAAGCAAACAGAGCAAAAUUUUUAACUUUGGUAAACUGGUUUACAAGGGAGGGUUGUCUUUUAAAGUGGUCCAUGAAGGGUAUAUAAAGGUCAAAUCACUGACUCCUAAAGGAGGCAGCUCUGUGGAGCUCCACAGUUCAAGAGAUGGGGAGAAGUCUGGAUUGAAGGUUUUUGUAUUGAGGUUGAUGUUUAUUUUACAAAUGUGUUAAUACUUGAAAUGUUCAAAUUAAAUAUGUCUCAGUGGUUACUGAGGUACAGGGAGGUGUGAUAUGACAGUCAAAUAGAACAGGAAUUUCGGUUCAUCAGGAAAAAUGUUUGACCAAACUGAAACUUAGGCAGAGAAGUGAAUGUUUGUUUGUUUUUUUGCCCUUGACCUAUGGUAACACUUCUGUUUGACACCGUUUUAUUAGUGCAUAUAAAAACUUAAAAAGGCAGGGAUGAGAAAAUCAUACAAAUCUGUGGAUAUCGUCUACCAUGCUGUCUCAAAUUGAUGUGCUGUCGUUGCAGUCAAUAAUUUGCCAAAAUGCAACUUUGCCAACCAUUUAAUUAAAAAAAAAAGUCUUACAUAGUACUGCAAAAUGUUGCACAGCUUCUCAUAGUCUUAGUCAACCAGUCAGUUCCUCCAGUCCCGUCUUCUCAAACAAGGGUCUGGAUUCACUCCACUGUGAGGAAGUGGUGUUUGACCUGUGGAUUUCUGAACCCAAACAUUUGGGGGGCUGAUUUAAUGAGAGCCCAAAAAAUAAGUAAUUAAUAAGUGGCACUAAAAUUUUGACUGUAUAACAAAAUCCAUGGACAGGCAGAACAUGGCGCUACAUGCCAAUUAAUCUCAUUUUAAUUUUUGUUCAUGUUUAGCCAGGUCAGUACGUGGGUUGUGCACUUUAAAAAAAAAACACAGACAAGGACCUCUUGACCUCUCAGUGAAAACAAGAUGGUUCAAACCUUUCCACUGUACACGUAGAAUUUAAAGUGUCCUUAAAAACUGUAAAUACACUCAAACUGGCUGCUCACAUCACCUAAAUUCGUAUAACGCAGCAAACUGUAGAAUAUUUGCAUUUACAUUACGAUAUUUGCCUUUACCAUAGUCCACUCUUUGCAGAAGAGGACUCGAGAGGAUUGCAAACGAUUAUGACCUCAAUCCUUGUAUGAUGAACAGACCAACUUGAAUUGCCGUAGAACACCCUCAUCCAUGAACUGCUUCAGAAGAAUGCGUUGUCGGUUUUUGCAGACAAUGUCCUUUCUGCAGUGACCAUUCUCACCAAGGUGAAGGACACACUUAUGGUGUCAUCCACCAGUCUGUGCAUUUGACUGGCAAUAACCCAUCAGAAGUGUCAGGCAUCAUCGAAAUCAAGAGAUACAACUGACCAAAACACAGAAUCCAGUCACAAUUGCAACGUGCCCACACCUUCCAGUAUCAUCCUGCAGCAGCACACUGCAAUGAACAUCUCAAGCCGGUGUGUGCAGCCGGCUUGAGAUGUUCAUGUUGUAUUUAGCUGCCAGUUGAGAAGUUCUACAGAUGUGCUGCUAACCCAUGGUGCAUUUGCUGCUUAAUAUUUGUUUGUUUGACAAAGAUAACAUUUUGUAAGGUGAAAACAGGGCCUAUAUGACUGCUAACACAUGGUGUGAAAUUAGAAUAGAGUUGUGUACAAUGAAGGGCUUUAGUCAAAAAAGGUUGCUUGCCUAAGCUAAGGGUUUUAUUGGGUAAACGAUAACAGAAAUGAACAGCUUUUUGUCAUAAUACUAUGUGUCUUCAAAAUGACAAAUAAAUUCUUGCAAGUAAA